GGGAAGGAGGGCGGGCCCGGGAGGGGCGGUGGCCCCAGGGCGUGCGCGCGCCCGCAGCCUCCCGGGGGCGCGCGCGCACGCCGCGGCCGCUCCCCCGACUCGUGCCCCGGGCCGGAGACUCACGUUCUCUCGCGAGCCCGCGACCGCCGCCGGGCGCGCGCGGGGAGGGCUCGGCUGGGCGGGGUCUUGUGGUCACGUGACCUCCAUCGGGGCCGGGCGCCUCCGCCUGGGGCAGGCACCUGGGGAGCCGGACUUUCGGUUGCCCUUGAAUUGGCUGCACCCACUUAGGUGCGGAAGGGCUACUUCCGAGGGCCCGGGAGGCCGGAGACCAGGUCGCGGGCGCUGCCCUUUGGGCUCCGCAACCGCUCCCGCCGUUCUUACUCCUGGUUACUCCCCGCCGCCGGCUGUCACCUAAUUUCGAAGUCUUUGGUUCGAAGUUAUACAAACAGCGAGCGCGAGCUUGGAAAGUUUUUGGUGCAUUUUCUUAAAGUGGGUUCCUUGACAUCCUGCUCUCCCAAGCCCAGAACGGUGACCAGACGUCAUCCAUCCUCCCCCAGCCCCACCCGCAGCUCCCUUCGGCAUUCUCAGACCUUGCCGUUCCUCUGAGAUGUGCCAGGAGCGAUUGUUGAUGUUUCGUUGAUGUGGGUUCCCACCCGAGCUGCCGCGCUGAAAUCUGGACGGUAGCUGCCGGAGGGUGAGGUCAUGGUGAAAAUCCCCCUUCACCGGACACUGUGAUGCAGGCUCUUCCCUAGAAGGAAGCAGAUAAGCAAACAGACCGAGGACAAGAGCCGGCAAAUUUUAGGUUUCCUGCCAGAUUGCAGAGGAUAUGACCAGCCAAGGGACUUUUUUUCUAUCUUAAUAGCGGAUUCAGGCCAGGACACCUGAAGGGCUGCCAGGAGACAAGCGACAAGUGACAGCUGGCUUGGCAGACUGCAUCGCAAGGACCCCGGAAGCCAACUUCUUCUCUCUUAGUGUUCUAGUUUCAAGUGGAAAAAGGCAUUUGGGUCGGUCUCUGUUUAUGGCAGUGCAGCCCUAAUGCUCCUUGAUUGGGGCUUCUGGGGCUCAGAAACUUCUAUGUGUCAGGCACUGAGAUGAGAAAGAGGUCAGCAGUCUGAGAGGCUCAUGAACACGUUUAAAUUUAAAAAUCAGUGCUAAUCAGUUUACUGGCCGGGUUGGGUUAAUGGCUGAGGAGCCUCAUGACUCGGUAAAUUGGCUGCAGUAAACAAUACCUACAGUAGGAUUAUCUCCUGUUGUCCUGGCCAAGCCCACAGGGGUGGAUAAGCUACAAUAUACAAAGUAGGGUCGGUUCAACUCCAGUAUCUGUGGAUUGAUAGGGUCAGAAUCACUAGGCCGUGCCUUCAGGCAAAAUAGAUGGUAAAAGUCCACCCGGGAUGCAAGAUCUCUCUGUAGCCUCAGCUAGUGUUUGGGAAGCUCUGUUCUCCAACCAUGAAAGGACAGACCUCUGCCCAGGACAGGGGUAUAGCAUUGGCCCCCAAACACCCAUUUCUACCUGGACUUCAGAUGCUAAUUUGAAUUCUACAAAAGCAGGAAGAGAGAAGCCUAUCAGUUAGGGUCUGUUGACAACAACAGUGAGAAAAAUACAUGCAUAUUGGAGGUUGUCCCCCAAAUCUGAACUCUGAAGAAGGGCGGGGUUAAUUAGUUUUCACCAGCACCAGGAGUGUCAGGCAAGGAUCCAGCUGCCAUAUUGUGAGGACUCUCAAGCAGCCCCAUGCAGGGGUCCACGUGGGAAAGAACUGAGGCCACUGCCAACAGCCAGCGCCAACUUGCCAGCCUCGUGAGUGAGCCAUCUGAGAAGCAGAUCCUAGUCAAGCCCCAGGUAAUGGCUUGUCUGCAGCCUCUUGAGAGAUCCUGGGCUAGGACCAGGCAGCUAUAAGUGGCUGCCGAAUUCCUGACCCACAGAAACUAAU